rnacentral:rRNA from 1 species
AGCUCCAAUAGCGUAUACUAAAGUUGUUGCAGUUAAAAAGCUCGUAGUUGAAUUUCUGGUUGUGAAAGUUGGUCCGUUCCUCACGGAAUGUGUACCAAACAUUCAUGGCCAUCCUCGGGGAGAAUGUAUAUGAACUUAAGUGAUCGUGUACAGGAACCUCGUCAUUUACUGUGAGCAAAAUAGAGUGUUCAAAGCAGGCUUAUGCCUUGAAUAUAUUAGCAUGGAAUAAUAAGAUAUGACUUUGGUCUAUUUUGUUGGUUUGCUUUCCAAAGUAAUGAUUAAUAGGGAUAGUUGGGGGUAUUCGUAUUCAAUUGUCAGAGGUGAAAUUCUUGGAUUUAUGGAAGACGAACUACUGCGAAAGCAUUUACCAAGGAUGUUUUCA